rnacentral:rRNA from 1 species
UACGGGGGGAGCAAGCGUUGUUCGGAUUUACUGGGCGUAAAGGGCGCGUAGGCGGCCAGCACAAGUCAGUUGUGAAAUCUCCGAGCUUAACUCGGAAAGGUCAACUGAUACUGUGCGGCUAGAGUGCGGAAGGGGCAACUGGAAUUCUUGGUGUAGCGGUGAAAUGCGUAGAAUAUCGAAGAGGAACACCUGCGGCGAAGGCGGGUUGCUGGGCCGACACGUGACGUGAGGCGCGAAAGCCAGGGGAGCGAACGGG